AACAGCUAAAAUUAAAAAAAUAUAUAUUUUACAAAAAAAAAAAAAAAAAUUUAGUCACUAGAUUUGUUACCGAUACUAACCUCAAAAUUAUAUACUAUCAAAAUGAACGUUUUAACACUUUUAAACAAAUUUCAACGGCUUUCGAUACAAAAAACGCUACAACGUCAGUUGACAACAACACAACCCCAAUAUAUUCACCUAACUCCAAUUGCAUUCGCCGAACCGCUAAAAAAGAAGAAACGUUUAGACCCGGCGGUCGUUCGAGCCAGAGAAGAGAGAAGGAAAAAGAAAUUGGAAAAACAGAUCAGACGAUUGGAAAAAAAUCAGAGGCAAUUGAAACCGAUUGAAGAGAAUCAGGUUCCUUUACAUAUUCUGGACAAUUUACAAAAGAGACAGAGAAAUGAUGUGAAUGUUGGUUUAACAGAGGAAAUUCUGGAAAAGCGUUCGAUAUUACAAAAGAAAUGGGCACAAUUUAGGCGCGAACAACACUUAAAAGAUGCACAAUUGAUCGAUAGGAUUACAUACAUGCAACAAAAAGCUCUGGAUCAGCUAAAAAUUGAAAACGAGCAACUUUAUCAAGAAGCCAUUCAAAUCGACUUUCGUUUGAUUCCGUUCAAUUUUAACGGUCCGGUCGAAACGCCCCAAAUUAACGGUUACGAAGCGACUGACGGUGAAUAUUUGGAUGUUUCCAAAAAAUGGGAAUGAAUAAACUUUGCAAAAAGUAAAUUACAGAAAUCUACUAUUUAAACGUUCAUGACGUUUAUCGAAACGAUUUCAGUUAUCUCAAAGGUUAAAAGGUUGGCAUUACUUCAGUUCGAUAUCUCUGCCAAAAACUUCGAGAAUCCGAGUCGCCCCAAAAAUGAACAAAACUCAGGAAUUAUUGAGAACCUGCAGAAUGGUCUCGAGACAAAUGAGCUCGUUGACUCCUACAUCUGGCAGAUACGUCAAAAUGACCCAAACUCAAAAACAUUUGGGCGUUGACAACAACGUUCCAGUGUACCUGAAAAGUGGCUUGGGAGACAAAGCCUUGUUUGGAACCACCGUUUUGCUAACUGUUGCUGGAGUUGGUUUGUGCUUGGAUGUUUUUUAUACACUUACCUUUGGCAAAAGAGGAUAAUUUAUUGUAAAUUUAAUUAAUAAAAUGUAGUAUUACUGUAAGAAAUACAUUAUAUUAGGAUUU